AGCCCCGUAGUCUAGUGGUCAAGGAUAUCGGGCUCGGGACCCGGUGACGUCGGUUCGAACGCAGGGGGCACGCUUUGCGCCCCCUUACGCUAACCCAAUUCAUUGGCGUUAUGCAGAAAAUCCGGCCGGGGCUA
rnacentral:tRNA from 1 species